rnacentral:rRNA from 1 species
UGGAAAGGCGCGCGAUACAGGGUGACAGCCCCGUACACAAAAAUGCACAUGCUGUGAGCUCGAUGAGUAGGGCGGGACACGUGGUAUCCUGUCUGAAUAUGGGGGGACCAUCCUCCAAGGCUAAAUACUCCUGACUGACCGAUAGUGAACCAGUACCGUGAGGGAAAGGCGAAAAGAACCCCGGCGAGGGGAGUGAAAAAGAACCUGAAACCGUGUACGUACAAGCAGUGGGAGCACGCUUAGGCGUGUGACUGCGUACCUUUUGUAUAAUGGGUCAGCGACUUAUAUUCUGUAGCAAGGUUAACCGAAUAGGGGAGCCGAAGGGAAACCGAGUCUUAACUGGGCGUUAAGUUGCAGGGUAUAGA